UACGUAGGGGGCAAGCGUUGUCCGGAAUUAUUGGGCGUAAAGGGUGCGUAGGCGGCCUUUCAAGUCGGAUGUGAAAUCCCCGUGCUUAACAUGGGAAUUGCAUUCGAAACUGGAGGGCUUGAGUGUGGAAGAGGUAAGUGGAAUUCCCAGUGUAGCGGUGAAAUGCGUAGAUAUUGGGAGGAACACCAGUGGCGAAGGCGACUUACUGGGCCACAACUGACGCUGAUGCACGAAAGCGUGGGGAGCAAACAGG
rnacentral:rRNA from 1 species